AUGCUUGUUUGAACCGCAUGGUUCAAACAUAAAAGGUGGCUUCGGCUACCACUUACAGAUGGACCCGCGGCGCAUUAGCUAGUUGGUGAGGUAAUGGCUCACCAAGGCAACGAUGCGUAGCCGACCUGAGAGGGUGAUCGGCCACACUGGGACUGAGACACGGCCCAGACUCCUACGGGAGGCAGCAGUAGGGAAUCUUCCGCAAUGGACGAAAGUCUGACGGAGCAACGCCGCGUGAGUGAUGAAGGUUUUCGGAUCGUAAAGCUCUGUUGUUAGGGAAGAACAAGUACCGUUCGAAUAGGGCGGUACCUUGACGGUACCUAACCAGAAAGCCACGGCUAACUACGUGCCAGCAGCCGCGGUAAUACGUAGGUGGCAAGCGUUGUCCGGAAUUAUUGGGCGUAAAGGGCUCGCAGGCGGUUUCUUAAGUCUGAUGUGAAAGCCCCCGGCUCAACCGGGGAGGGUCAUUGGAAACUGGGGAACUUGAGUGCAGAAGAGGAGAGUGGAAUUCCACGUGUAGCGGUGAAAUGCGUAGAGAUGUGGAGGAACACCAGUGGCGAAGGCGACUCUCUGGUCUGUAACUGACGCUGAGGAGCGAAA
rnacentral:rRNA from 1 species